rnacentral:ncRNA from 1 species
CAGUGUCAGGUAGGUAGUUUGACUGGGGCGGUCGCCUCCCAAAAAGUAACGGAGGCGCCCAAAGGUUCCCUCAGAAUGGUUGGAAAUCAUUCGCAGAGUGUAAAGGCACAAGGGAGCUUGACUGCGAGACAGACAGGUCGAGCAGGGACGAAAGUCGGGCUUAGUGAUCCGGCGGUACCGUAUGGAAGGGCCGUCGCUCAACGGAUAAAAGCUACCCUGGGGAUAACAGGCUUAU